ensembl:lncRNA novel transcript
GGGUUGAUUCUAUUAUCUGAUGUUUUAUUAAUCUCUGUGAAAUAAUUGUGUAAAUUAAUAUAGAGACUAGUUGAGAAAUGGUGGAUAACAUGAAGAAGAUACCCAUUUUUGCAUAGAUUAGAUGUGAUCAACCUCACACUAUCAUAUGAAAGUUGGCUGCAUUGGAGAGACAGGAAUUAAUAUUAAAAAUGUUUUCAGUUCAGAUUGAUAUCUUACAUUUCCAAAUAUUAUUUUCUUUUGAAUAUGUGUGAGCCACUGUGCCUGGCCCCACAUUUUUUAAAACAAUGACUUUAGGGUUUCAGCUUUUCCUGUCUUUUAAAACAAAUUAGCCAUUUUUUAUUCUAAGAAAGGGUUGUAUUAUAAAGCUGACCUACUACUAGCUUAUCAGAAAAAACACGUGGGUCUCAUAUCUGAUUCUCCUAUGUAGCCAAAAGUGCCAUUUGUAAGUCUACUAAAUGACGGAUAUUUUCUGAAGAUCUUUUGCCUGGAAAACAAAUAGUGCAUUAAAAAGCUUUUUUGGUA